rnacentral:rRNA from 1 species
AGCGGCGCGCGGGGGCACCCUGGCGGCGAGCGGCGAACGGGUGAGGAAUACAUCGGAACGUACCCCGGAGUGGGGGAUAACGCCGCGAAAGCGGCGCUAAUACCGCAUAUGCUCUGAGGAGGAAAGUGGGGGACCGCAAGGCCUCACGCUCUGGGAGCGGCCGAUGUCCGAUUAGCUAGUUGGUGGGGUAAUGGCUUACCAAGGCGACGAUCGGUAGCUGGUCUGAGAGGAUGAUCAGCCACACUGGGACUGAGACACGGCCCAGACUCCUACGGGAGGCAGCAGUGGGGAAUUUUGGACAAUGGGGGCAACCCUGAUCCAGCCAUGCCGCGUGCGGGAAGAAGGCCUUCGGGUUGUAAACCGCUUUUAGUCGGGAAGAAAAGAUCACGGAUAACACCCGUGGUUCUUGACGGUACCGGCGGAAUAAGCACCGGCUAACUACGUGCCAGCAGCCGCGGUAAUACGUAGGGUGCGAGCGUUAAUCGGAAUUACUGGGCGCAAAGCGUGCGCAGGCGGUUCGUUAAGUCAGAUGUGAAAGCCCCGGGCUCAACCUGGGAACUGCAUUUGAAACUGGCGGGCUUGAGUAUGGCAGAGGGGGGUGGAAUUCCGCGUGUAGCAGUGAAAUGCGUAGAGAUGCGGAGGAACACCGAUGGCGAAGGCAGCCCCCUGGGCCAAUACUGACGCUCAGGCACGAAAGCGUGGGGAGNCAACAGGAUUAGAUACCCUGGUAGUCNACGCCCUAAACGAUGCUCACUAGGUGUUGGGGAAGCGAUUCCUUG